UGGCUCGAUUGGUAGAGCGUCUGACUAUCAGUCGGACGGUCGCUGGUUCGAGUCCGGU
rfam:Ancylostoma ceylanicum strain HY135 Acey_s0027_scaf, whole genome shotgun sequence.